rnacentral:rRNA from 1 species
GCCAGCCCGCUCAGAAACUUAAAGGAAGUUGACGGGGGCCCGCACAAGCGGUGGAGCAUGUGGUUUAAUUCGAUGAUACGCGAGGAACCUUACCUGGGCUCAAAUGUAUGUUGACGUAUUCUGAAAGGGAUACUUCUUCGGACAAUAUACAAGGUGCUGCAUGGUUGUCGUCAGCUCGUGCCGUGAGGUGUCGGGUUAAGUCCCAUAACGAGCGCAACCCCUAUCAUUAGUUGCCAUCAGGUCAAGCUGGGGACUCUAAUGAAACUGCCUACGCAAGUAGUGAGGAAGGUGGGGAUGACGUCAAAUCAGCACGGCCCUUACGUCCAGGGCUACACACGUGCUACAAUGGCCGGUACAGAGCGCAACGAGGCCGCGAGGCGGAGCGAAUCGCUUAAAGCCGGUCCCAGUACGGAUUGGAGUCUGCAACCCGACUCCAUGAAGUUGGAAUCGCUAGUAAUCGCGCAUCAGCAUGGCGCGGUGAAUACGUUCCCGGGCCUU